AUGAAUCAGGAUCUGUUCUAUAGGGAAGUACCUCUGUAUCUUGAGUAAAACGGAUAAGGAAACCAAAGUCUGAUGGAUGAAUCAGGACACUCUGUGAUCAGAGUGUGAUUAACGGUUGAGCUUCUAACUGUGAAUCUUCUUGCUGUAGAGGAUCGUUCUCAGCUGCCUUUGGUGGCUGAGAUGGUCAAGCGGUUGUCUGACAGGC